rnacentral:Y_RNA from 1 species
AGUUGGUCCGACGGCUGUGGGUUAUUGUUAAACUGAUUAACAUUGUCUCCCCCCACACCCAACCUUGACCAACUGUGU